GAUGAACGCUGGCGGCGUGCCUAAUACAUGCAAGUCGAGCGAACGGACGAGAAGCUUGCUUCUCUGAUGUUAGCGGCGGACGGGUGAGUAACACGUGGAUAACCUACCUAUAAGACUGGGAUAACUUCGGGAAACCGGAGCUAAUACCGGAUAAUAUUUUGAACCGCAUGGUUCAAAAGUGAAAGACGGUCUUGCUGUCACUUAUAGAUGGAUCCGCUCUGCAUUAGCUAGUUGGUAAGGUAACGGCUUACCAAGGCAACGAUGCAUAGCCGACCUGAGAGGGUGAUCGGCCACACUGGAACUGAGACACGGUCCAGACUCCUACGGGAGGCAGCAGUGGGGAAUCUUCCGCAAUGGGCGAAAGCCUGACGGAGCAACGCCGCGUGAGUGAUGAAGGUCUUCGGAUCGUAAAACUCUGUUAUUAGGGAAGAACAUAUGUGUAAGUAACUGUGCACAUCUUGACGGUACCUAAGCAGAAAGCCACGGCUAACUACGU
rnacentral:rRNA from 1 species